GCACAGAAUAAAAAUGGGCUUCUAACCUGUUUUACACUAAUUUCCGCAUUACAGAAUUUUUAUACCAUGGUACUUAAGGUAAGACGACUAGCAGUUAGGAUUCAUGCGAUCUUUAGUUUAUUAAUCUGACAAAUACAGGAAAAUUUUGCAAUCUAUCAAAAUUGUAUCUUAUCAAGAAUUUGAAAGGUGUUACAAAAAGAUGUUUUCACAUUCUUUCUGGAUUAUGUACAAAUCAGUAUCUGUAGAAACAAAAACAAAACAGCAAACACUUGAGAGUAAAGGAAUCCCAAUGAAGUCCAUAUUCCAGCAUCUCCAAUCACAUUGUAAACCAAGCCACUAUUGCAGUGUGCACAAUCCUGUAGCCACCACUGCAUGAUUCAAAGUUCUGAAGCUGCUGCCAAUGGUUCCAAUAAAUACUUGCUCUUUUAAAAAGGAAAAUGUCCUAAGAAGGAAACUUUCCCCACUGCAUAGUCCAACCUGAAGUUCUAGUCAGGCACAUUUGAGGAGGGUCCCAACCAUCUCCUCUUAUUAAUAAUAGAGCAAGCAUCCAGGAAGUGGUACCUUUCUGAGAUAUUCUGAAAUUGCUUUGUAGACAGAGACAUUGAGUGAUUUCAGCAGGAGGCAGCUUUCAAGUACAGCAGGUAAAAUUGGUAGGUUUCUGAUCAGGACUAUAACUGGUGGUCAAGGCAAUACCUAACAUCCAUCCUCUCCUUAGGGAGGUGUUUCCUAUAAUCAGGUAAGACCACCAGCUAAUGGCAUCCAAAUAAACUACUCAGAGACCAUUCUUUUAUGACAGGGCUGCAAAGAGUUGAAAGUUGGCGAGUGUUUUUCAAAGUCCUCUAUUCUGGGAUUUUAGAGACGUUACGAAGAUAUAUGUUCUAUGCUCAAAUUGAAGAUACAAAAGUCUCUGCCAUGAGAUCAGUGAGAUCAUCUGUCCAGUUCUGAAAGCUCCUUUCCAACACAGUGUUUAGGAUCCAACACAGUGUUAGGACAUCUGCAGGGGAAGAGGGAGGUGGGGUACUGUCUUCCUAUGAUAAGGGCAAAUUCAGAGGAAGAGAAGGAAAGAAGCCUUAGUUCACUCAGAAGACUCAGUCCUGAAAUGAGCACAAUCCAGUUCAUGAGCCUGCUUCUCAUGCAGAGAUGGUACAGGUAGAGAAGCUGUGACAGCAUAUGCUACAUAAGGCUCUGACAGCAUUAUUGCAAUUUUCAGUGUCAUCUAUGUUCAUGUGGCAAGAGCCCUUAACAAUCAUGAAAAAGUGGUUACAGAUUAGAGUAUACAGUCAUUAUGCCUAAAGUUUCCAAUGUUUUAAAGAGCUUAAAGUUAUCUGUAUGUUAGAAAACAGGAAAGAAAUAACAUAGUUAAAGUGAAACUCUUGAAAAAUUUAGAAAAGUCCAAGGUAACGUAGCUUCUUCCUUCCAGGAAAAAAAUGUUGCUGAUUGAACAUAUGGUGUGGUAAAUAAAAUGAGGAACUUGUAGUCAAGAAUCACAGAACAUAGCUCUAGUUCUGCUUCUGACAUCACUUGACUUCCAUUAAUUGCUUAACUUUUUAUAUUUCCCCCUUUGCCAGUGGGAUACAGAUGCGUUUCUAUGAAAAAUGCCUUGAAGUCCUUAGGGAAACGGCUUUAGAUGUAAUAUAAUAUUAUUUGCAGCCUGUUAGAAGUAAAUGACACACAGGGAGGAGAUCCGACAUUCAGAACUUAAAACAAUAUAUUCAGUUGUUGCUUUUAUGGGCAGAUAAAUUAAUAAUGAAUAGCUGACUUUCCCCAUACUUUUCUUCUAAGCUCUGCAAAGAUCAUGAUUUCCAAUUUUUUCUAAAUGUAAAAUGCAAUCAAUAAAAAGUAGUGGUACCUGCAAUUUGUUCUAAUAGUUGAUUUUGCUUAACUUUUAGGAGAAGAUACUUUAGUAAAAGAUAAAGGUGUUUUCUUUAAAAAAAAAAAAAAGGGGGGGGGUGAUGGGGUAAAAAUUAAAGGUAUACAUUUAAAAAAGAGAGAAAAUAACCUCGAAGUACAAUAAUGAAUUGGCCAUUACAAAAAACAAAAACAACAACAAGAAAAAAACAAAACCUGUGGCUUCUAGUCCAGGGAAUCAAACAACAUCAAUCUUCCAGAUAUACCCUGUGAACUACUUUCUACAAAAAUGUACUCUAUUAUUUUGUGUGUCAAAACUAAAUACAAAUCUACUAUUUUCUCACCUAUUAACUUCUUUCUUUUAAAGGAUAUUUUAAUUUUAAACUAAACUUGAAAUUCAUCUAACUUCUGAAUCUGUUGCACUUUGUUGGUUAGUUCAAUGCAGUGUUCUUCCCAUUGUAGAAGAGCCCCACUGCUAGCUAUCCCCAGAUUCCCACUUUUAGAUAAAUACUGUGACUGCCCAUCCCUGAAUGACUUUAAAGCAAGUAUCUGGAAUUUCCUCUGUUUCAUACCAUGACCUCAUUCAUUUUUCCUUAUGGAAGACUUAUAAUUGAUAUUCUGGGAUCUCUAAACUUGUCCUUAAGGAGUGUCUGGGGGCAAAUUCAUACUACUGGUAUCCUUGGUUCUACUUAAUGGAACAUAAUGGUCUGUUUGUUGUUAUACAGUUUGGUUUAGACAUGGCUUAGAUCUGCAUGUAGCAUCACAAGCCUUUCAAGGGAAAAAACUAAAAUACAGGGUGGCCAAUAAACACGCGAUAAAAUCUCUCUUAGGUGAACUCUAGUUUGAAGUCAAAAUCUAUAAUACAUAGGGUUAUCUGGAAGCUUUGUUUAAAAG
ensembl:lncRNA